rnacentral:rRNA from 1 species
UACAGAGGGUGCGAGCGUUAAUCGGAAUUACUGGGCGUAAAGGGCGCGUAGGCGGGCUGAUAAGUCAGAUGUGAAAGUCCUGGGCUUAACCUGGGGAUUGCAUUUGAAACUGUUAGUCUGGAGUGAAGUAGAGGGUGGCGGAAUUUCCGGUGUAGCGGUGAAAUGCGUAGAUAUCGGAAGGAACACCAGUGGCGAAGGCGGCCACCUGGACUUUAACUGACGCUGAGGCGCGAAAGCGUGGGGAGCGAACAGG